AGCGGAGCUAGGGGCAGAGGGGACGUCUGAGCUUACCUAGGGGACCCCGCGAGGCUCAAGGGCUAAGCGGAGGAGGGGCCUGAACUAGUCGGUUGGUGGGAGAGAGAACGGGACUCCCCAGUCGGCUCCCUGUUCGUGAUCUUUUUGAUUUCUGCUUGAGCGACUGAAAGUUUGCGUUUCUUUCCUGGAUUAAAACACAGAUUGGCUUUGAGGGCGGGGUAGCUUGCAGUAAAAGUGAAUCCAGAACUAGGGUUUGGGAGAAACCUUCUUUCUAGGGUUUUAUCUAGGAAAAAGCUAUCAGGAACUGAGCUCUUUCUAGAAGGGUCCACCCUGACUCAUGAAGAUGAGACACUGAAAUGAGGUCAUGCCCACACUCAGACUUCCUUUAGCUGCUCAGGCAGUUACCUGAGUAUGCCUACCAUAUUCCUUAACUCCAUUUCUUGCAUAGCUGAGACCUGGUACCAGACUCUGUCAUUCUCUUUUAGGGUAUAAUGUUAUUCAGCUGCUGCCAACUUUUAUUGCAUCUUCCAAUGAUUUGUGUAUUUAUUGCCCUUAAUGUGAUUCAAAAUAGCAAAAUGUUCACACAUACAGGAGUGGCCAACCAUUGAGAAUAAGACUAAGCUGACAUUUUUGCAGGAGAUUGUGACAAGACAUUCUUUCCAAGUUUGCAGAUACAGGUAACUUCCACGGCCAUUUUUUUGUUAAGCCAGUAGUCUUGGCCACCAUUUCUCACUGCUCUGCACUGUAAGAAUUCUUAAGAUGAUGUUUUAAGACCCAAACUCAGAAUAUUUUGAGGAUUUUUUGAUAUGGACCAAUUUUAAAGUAUUUAUUGAAUUUGUUACAGUAUUGCUUCUGUUUUAAUGUUUUGGCUUUUUGGCCUCAAGGCAUGUGGAAUUUUAAUUCCCCAAUCAGAGUUCGAACCCUCACCCCCUGCAUUUGAGGCUGAAGUCUUAACUACUGGACCACCAGGGAAGGCCCAAACUGAGAUUAUUUUAGUAUUCAAGUUUUAUUGUCACUAAAUGUUAGAAGUUCCAGACAUUUGGGAGCUAUAACUAAAAAGACCUAUGCCCUUGUGGAAAUUAAAUAGUAAAACUUAAACACAGAAUACUUUUAUAUUAGAAGCAAAAAAUAUUCACUGUGUUUGCUGUGAAAGGUUAGAAGUAGAGGUUCUGGGGUCAGACUAGAUGGUCUUGAGUUUAGACCCUACCAACUUUAUUUACUCAUUCCAUAUGUAUUGAGUGACAAGUGAUUUUCAGUGUGCAGACUUACACAUAUAUUGUCAUCAGUUUAGUUCAGUCGCUCAGUUGUGUCUGACUCUUUGUGACCCCAUUGAGCGCAGCACACGAGGCUUCCCUGUCCAUCACUCCCGGAGUUCACUCAAACUCAUGUCUGUCAUGUUGGUGAUGCCAGCCAACCGUCUCAUCUUCUGUCAUCCCCUUCUCCCCCCGCCUUCAAUCUUUCCCAGCAUCAGGGUCUUUUCCAGUGAAUUAGUUCUUCACAUCCAGGUGGCCAAAGUAUUGGAGCUUCAGCUUCAGCAUCAGUCCUUCCAAUAAAUAUUCAGGACUGAUUUCCUUUAGGAUGACUGGCUGGAUCUCCCUGCAGUCCAAGGGACUAUCAAGAGUCUUCUCCUAUACCACAGUUCAAAAGCAUCAAUUCUUUGGCGCUCAGCUUUCUUCACAGUCCAACUCUCACAUUCAUACAUGACCACUGGAAAAAACACAGCUCUGACUAGACAGACCUUUGUUGGUAAAGUAUUGUCUCUGCUUUUUAAUAUGCUGUCUAGGUUGGCCAUAGCUUUUCUUCCAAGGAGCAAGCAUCUUUUAAUUUCAUGGCUGCAGUCACCACUGCAGUGAUUUUGGAGCCCCCAAAAUAAAGUCUCUUACUGUUUCCAUUGUUUCCCCAUCUAUUUGCCAUGAAGUGAUGGGACUGGAUGCCAUGAUCUUAGUUUUAUGAAUGUUGAGCUUUAAGCCAACUUUUUCACUCUCCUCUUUCACUUUCAUCAAGAGGCUCUUUAGUUCUUCGCUUUCUGCCAUAAGGGUGGUAUCAUCUGCAUGUCUGAGGUUAUUGAUAUUUCUCCCAGCAAUCUUGAUUCCCGCUUGUGCUUCAUCCAGCCCUGCAUUUCGCAUGAUGUAGUCUGCAUAGAUGUUAAAUAAGCAGGGUGACAAUAUACAGACUUGACAUACUCCUUUCCCAAUUUGGAACCAGUCCGUUGUUCCAUGUCCGGUACUGUUACUUCUUAACCUGCAUACAGAUUUCUCAGGAGGCAGUUAAGGUGGUCUGGUAUUCCCAUCUCUUGAAGAAUUUUCCACAGUUUGUUGUGAUCCACACAGUCAAAGGCUUUGGUGUAGUCAAUGAAACAG
ensembl:lncRNA